GACGAACGCUGGCGGCGUGCCUAAUACAUGCAAGUAGAACGCUGAAGAGAGGAGCUUGCUCUUCUUGGAUGAGUUGCGAACGGGUGAGUAACGCGUAGGUAACCUGCCUUGUAGCGGGGGAUAACUAUUGGAAACGAUAGCUAAUACCGCAUAACAAUGGAUGACACAUGUCAUUUAUUUGAAAGGGGCAAUUGCUCCACUACAAGAUGGACCUGCGUUGUAUUAGCUAGUAGGUGAGGUAAUGGCUCACCUAGGCGACGAUACAUAGCCGACCUGAGAGGGUGAUAGGCCACACUGGGACUGAGACACGGCCCAGACUACUACGGGAGGCAGCAGUAGUGAAUCUUCGGGAAUGGGGGCAACCCUGACCGAGCAACGCCGCGUGAGUGAAGAAGGUUUUCGGAUCGUAAAGCUCCGUUGUAAGUCAAGAACGGGUGUGAGAGUGGAAAGUUCACACUGUGACGGUAGCUGACCAGAAAGGGACGGCUAACUACGUG
rnacentral:rRNA from 1 species